rnacentral:rRNA from 1 species
GACGAACGCUGGCGGCGUGCUUAACACAUGCCAGUCGAACGGAAAGGCCCUGCUUUUGUGGGGUGCUCGAGUGGCGAACGGGUGAGUAGCACGUGAGUAACCUGCCCUUGACUUUGGGAUAACUUCAGGAAACUGGGGCUAAUACCGGAUAGGAGCUCCUGCUGCAUGGUGGGGGUUGGAAAGUUUCGGCGGUUGGGGAUGGACUCGCGGCUUAUCAGCUUGUUGGUGGGGUAGUGGCUUACCAAGGCUUUGACGGGUAGCCGGCCUGAGAGGGUGACCGGCCACAUUGGGACUGAGAUACGGCCCAGACUCCUACGGGAGGCAGCAGUGGGGAAUAUUGCACAAUGGGCGGAAGCCUGAUGCAGCAACGCCGCGUGCGGGAUGACGGCCUUCGGGUGGUAAACCGCUUUCGCCUGUGACGAAGCGUGAGUGACGGUAAUGGGUAAAGAAGCACCGGCUAACUACGU